AAAGUGUUGAGGAUUUGCGAUGAAGCUUUGAGGCAGUUUAUUGAAUUACAGUCAGUUGGUCACAGGGAUGCUUGGACGAGUUUACUAUUGCUUAUGUUUACCAGAAUUCUUCGUUUGAACGAUGAAAGACAAAACGUGGUCGAUCUAAUUCGUGGGGACAACAAGGUCGGUGUUACAAACCACAAGAGACUUGGACUCACGAUUUUUUUCGCCUGGCAAACUAUGAGCAAGAUUGUGUGCCUACUGGAAUGGAAAAAAUUAAAUUACAAAAAGCUGGUCUUGGACUUAGACGUAUUUCUUUCCUUAAAGAUUAAAGUGCAGCCAAAGUGAAGGCAAAAUUAGAAGAGAUCUAUCCCCGGCUGGUAUUAGGCGGUGGUUUUGAGAUAUUAAAGAGUGGUUUAUCACCCAAAGAUUUGUAUCUUAUUACCCCUUCACCAAAUAUUGGAUAUUCUGUCCACUUUCUUCGUGGUAGUUCUGGCCUAGGGCAGGUAAUUGCAUAUAUUAGACCAGUUCAAGCUGAUCUAGAUUCCUCAUCCUUGGAAACGGAUGAUCACGCUCCUGAAGGAGAUGCUCCAGAAAACAAGAUUCCAAUGAAUUAAUCAGGAAUCAUAUAAAAACUUGAGGGCAGUUCAAUGAAGAAGAUGGAUUAAUAUCAUGAUGAACAUCGACAUUUAAAAGUUCUUUUGCGUUAUAGAU